rnacentral:rRNA from 1 species
GUGCCAGCCGCCGCGGUAAUACGUAGGUGGCAAGCGUUGUCCGGAUUUACUGGGCGUAAAGCGUAUGUAGGCGGAUGCUUAAGUAGGAAGUGAAAGGUUCGAGCUCAACUCGGACACUGCUCCCUAUACUGGGCGUCUUGAGGGUCGGAGAGGAAAGCGGAACGACACGUGUAGCGGUGAAAUGCGUUGAUAUGUGUCGGAACACCAAUGGCGAAGGCAGCUUUCUGGACGAUUUCUGACGCUGAGAUACGAAAGCCGAGGUAGCGAACAGGAUUAGAUACCCUGGUAGUCC